rnacentral:rRNA from 1 species
UACGUAGGGUGCGAGCGUUAAUCGGAAUUACUGGGCGUAAAGCGUGCGCAGGCGGUUCGUUGUGUCGGCGGUGAAAGCCCCGGGCUUAACCUGGGAAUGGCCGUCGAAACUGGCGAACUGGAGUGUGGCAGAGGGGGGUGGAAUUCCGCGUGUAGCAGUGAAAUGCGUAGAGAUCCGGAAGAACACCAGUGGCGAAGGCGGCCCGCUGGGCAGUGGCUGACGCUGAAGCGCGACAGCGUGGGGAGCAAACAGG